UACGUAGGGUGCAAGCGUUGUCCGGAAUUAUUGGGCGUAAAGAGCUCGUAGGCGGUUUGUCGCGUCGAAUGUGAAAACCCGGGGCUCAACCCCGGGCCUGCAUUCGAUACGGGCAGACUAGAGUUCGGUAGGGGAGUCUGGAAUUCCUGGUGUAGCGGUGAAAUGCGCAGAUAUCGGGAGGAACACCAGUGGCGAAGGCGGCUUCCUGGCCUGUUCUUGACGCUGAGGCGCGAAAGCUAGGGGAGCAAACGGG
rnacentral:rRNA from 1 species